rnacentral:rRNA from 1 species
AGAGUUUGAUUCUGGCUCAGAUUGAACGCUGGCGGCAUGCUUUACACAUGCAAGUCGAACGGUAACAGGGGAGCUUGCUCCCGCUGACGAGUGGCGAACGGGUGAGUAAUGCAUCGGAACGUACCGAGUAAUGGGGGAUAACUAUCCGAAAGGAUGGCUAAUACCGCAUACGAUCUUAGGAUGAAAGUGGGGGACCUUCGGGCCUCACGUUAUUCGAGCGGCCGAUGCCUGAUUAGCUAGUUGGUAGGGUAAAAGCCUACCAAGGCUACGAUCAGUAGCGGGUCUGAGAGGAUGAUCCGCCACACUGGGACUGAGACACGGCCCAGACUCCUACGGGAGGCAGCAGUGGGGAAUUUUGGACAAUGGGGGCAACCCUGAUCCAGCCAUGCCGCGUGUCUGAAGAAGGCCUUCGGGUUGUAAAGGACUUUUGUUAGGGAGGAAAAUUUAUCCAUUAAUACUGGGUAAAGCUGACAGUACCUAAAGAAUAAGCACCGGCUAACUACGUGCCAGCAGCCGCGGUAAUACGUAGGGUGCAAGCGUUAAUCGGAAUUACUGGGCGUAAAGCGAGCGCAGGCGGUUUGUUAAGUCAGAUGUGAAAGCCCCGAGCUCAACUUGGGAAUUGCGUUUGAAACUGGCAAGCUAGAGUGUGUCAGAGGGGGGUAGAAUUCCACGUGUAGCAGUGAAAUGCGUAGAGAUGUGGAGGAAUACCGAUGGCGAAGGCAGCCCCCUGGGAUAACACUGACGCUCAUGCUCGAAAGCGUGGGUAGCAAACAGGAUUAGAUACCCUGGUAGUCCACGCCCUAAACGAUGACAAUUAGCUGUUGGGGAAUUGAAAGUCCUUGGUAGCGUAGCUACGCGUGAAAUUGUCCGCCUGGGGAGUACGGUCGCAAGAUUAAAACUCAAGGAAUUGACGGGGACCCGCACAAGCGGUGGAUGAUGUGGAUUAAUUCGAUGCAACGCGAAAACCUUACCUAGCCUUGACAUGUACGGAAGCUCGAUGAAAGUUGAGUGUGCUCGAAG